rnacentral:rRNA from 1 species
UACGUAGGGGGCAAGCGUUGUCCGGAUUUAUUGGGCGUAAAGAGCGUGUAGGCGGCCAGACAAGUCUGCUGUGAAAACUCGAGGCUCAACCUCGAGCUGUCGGUGGAAACUGUCUGGCUAGAGUCCGGAAGAGGAGAGUGGAAUUCCUGGUGUAGCGGUGAAAUGCGCAGAUAUCAGGAAGAACACCUAUGGCGAAGGCAGCUCGCUGGGACGGUACUGACGCUGAGACGCGAAAGCGUGGGGAGCGAACAGG